rnacentral:rRNA from 1 species
GACGUAGGGCGCGAGCGUUGUCCGGAUUUAUUGGGCGUAAAGAGCUCGUAGGCGGCUUGUUGCGUCGACUGUGAAAACCCGCGGCUUAACUGCGGGCUUGCAGUUGAUACGGGCAGGCUAGAGUCCGGAGGAGGCGAGUGGAAUUCCUGGUGUAGCGGUGAAAUGCGCAGAUAUCAGGAGGAACACCAAUGGCGAAGGCAGCUCGCUGGGACGGUACUGACGCUGAGACGCGAAAGCGUGGGGAGCAAACAGG